GCUCCGAUAGCUCAGUUGGCCAGAGCGCCUCACUUGUAAUGAGGAUGUCGUCAGUUCGAAUCUGACUCGGAGCUCCA
rnacentral:tRNA from 1 species